GCAGCUUCAGACGAAUCUUUAAUUGAUAAAUUCUUCGAUGAUUUAAAUAAAGAAUUCAAAAUUACGAGUUUGAAAGAAGUAAAGAGUUUUCUUGGACUUGAAAUCAAUAGAUUAGAAGAUGGUUCAAUAUUCAUUCAUCAGAGUAGGUAUAUCGAAAACAUAUUGGAAAAAUUUAAUAUGAAUGAGGCAAACAGUGUUUCUACACCUAUCGAGACUAAUUGGAACGAAAGUAACAUAGGCGAUAAUGAUUGUAACGCACCAUACAGAGAAGCCGUAGGGAACUUAAUGUUUUUACAAACCGUAAGUAGGCCAGAUAUUAGUUUUGCAAUAAAUAUAGCGGCGAGACACUUAGAGAAUCCAAACCAGUAUCAAUGGAAAUUAGUCAAACGAAUUUUGCGCUACAUAAAAGGGACCGCAGACAUGGGACUCUUAUAUACAAAAGCAGGCAGUCUCGAAACCUUUAGCGACGCUGACUAUGCAGGCGACAAAGAAACAAAAAAGUCGACAUCAGGCGUUGUAUGUAAGUAUGCGAAUGCGGCCAUCACAUGGCAAUGUAAGCGACAACAAUGUAUAGCUUUAUCUACGACCGAAGCUGAAUAUGUCAGUGCAGCCUCAGGAGCAAAAGAAAUUAUGUGGCUAAAGAAAAUAUUUCUUGAAUGUAAAUUAGAGAUCCUUAAGUAUAUGCUAUGUGUAGACAAUACUAGUGCCGUAAAAUUAAUUAAGAAUCCAGAAUUCCAUCAAAGAAGUAAGCAUAUUGACGUAAGAUAUCAUUUCUUGCGAGAUUUAUACAAUAGAGGCGAAAUUGAUAUAACGUAUGUAACAAGCGAAGAGCAAUUGGCGGAUAUAUGUACAAAGGCGUUGCCAAAACCGAGAUUUGAAUAUUUAAGGAAAAAGUUAGGUUUGAAAAGUAAAAAAGAUAUUAAGAUGUAAUUGUUUGUAAACAUGUAGAGUUUUUAGGGAGGGUGUCGAAGUGAUUAUUACUUCUCAAAAAAAAAAAAGAGGAAAAACUCUACAUGAUCUGUUUAGUCUUCUAGUUUUUUUUUUUUUUGUGUAAUAAAUUAAUUUGUAUGGAAAAGAGAAAGGCGGCUGGCAAAUGUACUUGAGAAGGCAUUGACAAAUUAAUUUUCAGAUAUUUACGACAAGAGUUAGAAAAUAUUAAGAGAUAAUUUGUAAAUUUGAGAUAAUUGUUUGUAGGGAUGUAGAGUUUUAGGGGGGGUGUUGAAGUUCACUUCUAAGAAAACUCUACAUCUGGUCUUUUUUAGUUUUCUCAAGCACUGAAGCCAUCGACAGCGUGUAGACAAAAGACUGCGACGAAGUCAGGCCAUAAACAGUAGACAGGCGACGUUGGCUUCGGGGUUUUUCAGUUAUUAGGUAACACAGCUAGCGUGCGGAUCUGGACCAGCUCAAAUUGUAUUUUUACUUAUUACACUUCUAUUUAAAUAUAUUUUCUACCUUACAAUUUAUCCACGUGUUUUCUCUGUUUACACACCGAAUAACCUCAACAGCACGUGUGUUGUAAAAUUUGUAGAAUCAGAAGGUUUGCAAAGUCAAAUAGCACAACAAAA